GAGCUUCACCCCGCGACCCGGGAGCGCUCCGUACCGACUCGAAGGCCGAGGGAGCCGCAACGGUGCGGGACUGAAGGCCGAAAGAGAACACGCGUGGGGCGCGACCCCUCCGGGCAGGAAACCGACCCCAGACCUCCCCGAACUCGCAGGAUCGUUCCGGUGGGAAAAACCCGCUUAAAGCCCCACGUCCAACCCCGACGCGCCCCCACCCGCCCACGGGCCGCGUCCCGGUGCUGCGACUCCAAAUCCCCCUUAAGCCCCACAGCGGCCACGGACCGACCCACACCGCACCCGAGGGUUUAGGAGAUCUCGGGGCGGACGGAAGGAAGGUGGGCGCGAUGGGAGAGCCGUGAAGGCGGAUGCGGGUCCCGGUGGGGAAACUGAGGGCAGCACGGGCUCCGCAGUGCCGUUCCUCCCCCUCCAGCCCCACCCGGAGCUCCUUCGGUACAGAUCAGGGUCAGCCCUGACGCAGCCCGCUCUCCUUUGUAAUUACUAAAAGCUGGUUAUUCUUAGAAACCCUAAUGGAUUAAAUUAGAGACGGCACGAAGCGUUGACACAGCACGGUAAUGACAUCCUGCAGCUGAGUCACGGCUCCGGCCGGCCCGCGGCAUCUCCAGCUUUUCUUCGCGCUCCGCGGCGCCGUCGCUCAGUUCCGACGCAGAGCCGUGGGAGCUUCGCCCUCACCCCGCGCGGAAAGAAGCGCAGCAGCGCCGGGUGCAGCCGCAGGCACGCAGCUCUCGCUGCACGGUUUGCACGAGCUGCAGCAAUGAGGACCGAUUUUCUGUUCGGCUGCUCGCUGGAUCGCGGCACGGCGGCAGCACGGAGCAGGAUGAGCGCCUGCCCUGCUGGGAGGCAGCGCCGCGCAGCGCCGCGCGCUUCAGGCCCCGCUGUUCAGCACAAGGCUUCUUUUUUUUGCCCCUCCCUGCCCCCCUCUCAGCUCCUUUCUCAGCGGUCGGCAGCACAGAGCGCCGUUUUCCCCUUGCUGAGAGCGCAGGCCCACGCUGCAGCAUUGCAGGCACCCCGCAAUGAAAACAAAUGAGGCAAUGUGCCGGGUGCAGCAGGAGCUCAGGGCAGGUAACAGCGCCAGCAGCUCCGCAAAGGCAGCAGGAAUUUCUCCACGCAGCUCCGGCUGCUGGGGCACAAAGGUGUCCUCACCUCUGCGGGGCGCCCAGCAGCCACCCGUGAGCCGGGCCUGCAUUCCAGCUGCAGGCGAUUCCCCACUGCCAACCCAUCCCUGCAGCCCAGAGGAGCUGAAGGCUCCUUCCAAACGACUCCUCGACGAAGCCAAAAGAUUUAACUUUGUUUUGAAAGUUUAUUGGAUCAUCUCGACACAAAAUCAUUACAGCAGCUUGUGGGAUGUUCUCUUUUUCUUUUUCUUUCUUUUUUUUUUUUGUUUU